rnacentral:rRNA from 1 species
GGGGAAUUUUGGACAAUGGGGGCAACCCUGAUCCAGCCAUGCCGCGUGAGUGAAGAAGGCCUUCGGGUUGUAAAGCUCUUUUGGCGGGAACGAAAUGGGCGAGGCUAAUACCCUUGCUCGAUGACGGUACUCGCAGAAGAAGCACCGGCUAACUACGUGCCAGCAGCCGCGGUAAUACGUAGGGUGCGAGCGUUAAUCGGAAUUACUGGGCGUAAAGUGUGCGCAGGCGGUUUCGUAAGCUGGAGGUGAAAUCCCCGGGCUCAACCUGGGAAUGGCCUUCAGGACUGCGAGACUGGAGUGUGGCAGAGGGGGGUGGAAUUCCACGUGUAGCAGUGAAAUGCGUAGAGAUGUGGAGGAACACCGAUGGCGAAGGCAGCCCCCUGGGCCAACACUGACGCUCAUGCACGAAAGCGUGGGGAGCAAAC